rnacentral:rRNA from 1 species
GACGAACGCUGGCGGCGUGCUUAACACAUGCAAGUCGUACGGUAAGGCCCUUUCGGUGGUACACGAGUGGCGAACGGGUGAGUAACACGUGAGUAACCUGCCCACAACUUUGGGAUAACGCUAGGAAACUGGUGCUAAUACUGGAUAUGUGCUCCUGCUGCAUGGUGGGUGUUGGAAAGCUCCGGCGGGUGUGGAUGGACUCGCGGCCUAUCAGCUUGGUGGUGGGGUAGUGGCCUACCAAGGCGGCGACGGGUAGCCGGCCUGAGAGGGUGACCGGCCACAUUGGGACUGAGAGACGGCCCAGACUCCUACGGGAGGAAGCAGGGGGGAAGAUUGCACAAUGGGCGCCAGCCUGAUGCAGCAACGCCGCGGGCGGGAGGACGGCCUUCGGGUUGUAAACCGCUUUCAGCAGGGACGAAGCUUUUUGUGACGGUACCUGCAGAAGAAGCACCGGCUAACUACGUG